rnacentral:rRNA from 1 species
GACGAACGCUGGCGGCAUGCCUAACACAUGCAAGUCGAACGGUAAGGCUUCCUUCGGGAAGUACACGAGUGGCGAACGGGUGAGUAACACGUGGGUAACCUACCCUUGACUGUGGGACAACUUGGGGAAACUCAAGCUAAUACCGCAUGUACUCGAGAGAGUAAAGCUGGGGACCUUUAGGCCUGGCGCUUUAAGAUUAGCCUGCGUCCGAUUAGCUAGUUGGUAGGGUAAAGGCCUACCAAGGCGACGAUCGGUAGCUGGUCUGAGAGGAUGAUCAGCCACACUGGAACUGAGAGACGGUCCAGACUCCUACGGGAGGCAGCAGUGGGGAAUAUUGGACAAUGGGGGGAACCCUGAUCCAGCAAUGCCGCGUGUGUGAAGAAGGCCUGAGGGUUGUAAAGCACUUUCAGUGGGGGGGAGGUUUGGAAGGUUAAGAGCUAUUCAAAUGGACGUUACCCACAGAAGAAGCACCGGCUAACUCCGUGCCAGCCGCCGCCGUAA